AAAAGGCAAUUAUUGACUGCCGCUUAGUCGCUCACAAUGAGAUGAGAGGAGAAGAAGUGGACCCCUAGCUUCCUAUUGUUUUCAAGCUUCUCUUGAUUGACAUUGAAGAGCAACGAAAUUGAAUUCC
ensembl:ncRNA F49E10.19 ncRNA